CCUACGGGAGGCAGCAGUGAGGAAUAUUGGUCAAUGGACGAGAGUCUGAACCAGCCAAGUAGCGUGAAGGAUGACUGCCCUAUGGGUUGUAAACUUCUUUUAUAUAGGAAUAAAACAGGGUAUGCAUACCCUCUUGUAUGUACCAUAUGAAUAAGGAUCGGCUAACUCCGUGCCAGCAGCCGCGGUAAUACGGAGGAUCCGAGCGUUAUCCGGAUUUAUUGGGUUUAAAGGGAGCGUAGGUGGAUUGUUAAGUCAGUUGUGAAAGUUUGCGGCUCAACCGUAAAAUUGCAGUUGAUACUGGCAGUCGUGAGUACAGUAGAGGUGGGCGGAAUGCGUGGUGUAGCGGUGAAAUGCUUAGAUAUCACGAAGAACUCCGAUUGCGAAGGCAGCUCACUGAACUGCAACUGACACUGAUGCUCGAAAGUGUGGGUAUCAAACAGGAUUAGAGACCCCAGUAGUC
rnacentral:rRNA from 1 species